rnacentral:rRNA from 1 species
GCGGCGCGCCUAACACAUGCAAGUCGAACGGGCAGUUAUCUUCGGAUUUCUGUCAGUGGCGGACGGGUGAGUAACGCGUGGGAAUCUACCCAUCACUACGGAACAACUCCGGGAAACUGGAGCUAAUACCGUAUACGUCCAUCGGGAGAAAGAUUUAUCGGUGAUGGAUGAGCCCGCGUUGGAUUAGCUAGUUGGUGGGGUAAUGGCCUACCAAGGCGACGAUCCAUAGCUGGUCUGAGAGGAUGAUCAGCCACACUGGGACUGAGACACGGCCCAGACUCCUACGGGAGGCGGCAGUGGGGAAUAUUGGACAAUGGGCGAAAGCCUGAUCCAGCCAUGCCGCGUGAGUGAUGAAGGCCCUAGGGUUGUAAAGCUCUUUCACCGGUGAAGAUAAUGACGGUAACCGGAGAAGAAGCCCCGGCUAACUUCGUGCCAGCAGCCGCCGUAACAC